GUUUCAAACAAACGAUGGAAAAAGCUGUUGGCGGAAGAAUGUUCACAAAGGCUGUCAAGAACCAGGAGUUUGAGCCUUUUAUGUACACAUGCCUCAUAACCCGAAUGGAUUGGGGUAGACCCCGUUGCAAGUAUGUACCAAGCGAUUCGGACUGCUGCGGAACAUCCACCGGCACUUAUAAAACACUCCGUGAUAGGAUCAAUAUGUUGCUUACAUUCGGUUCCAAAUCUGGAGAUCCUGUGCGGUGCUUAUUUGUUUAGUCACCCGGCUACUUUUUCAAGCAAUCGAAUAACGUCGGGAAUAACCUUCGCACUGACCACAACUGUCUGGAAUAACCGUCGAGACAGCCGCUGGGAGUACUUUGACUGCCGGUGGUAGAACCGGGAAGAGAGAAGCUUCAUAAAGAAAAUUUGGUCUUAAAAUUUGAAAAAAUCCAGUGUGGGACUCGGAGCCCG